AGCACCACAACGGGUGGAGCUUGCGGUUUAAUUGGAUUCAACGCCGGAAAGUCUUACCGGGACCGACAGCAAUAUGAAGGCCAGGCUGAAGACUUUGCCGGAUUAGCUGAGAGGUGGUGCAUGGCCGUCGUCAGUUCGUACUGUGAAGCAUCCUGUUAAGUCAGGCAACGAGCGAGACCCACGCCCACAGUUGCCAGCGUACUCUCUGGAGUGACGGGUACACUGUGGGACCGCCGCUGCUAAAGCGGAGGAAGGAAUGGGCAACGGUAGGUCAGUAUGCCCCGAAUAUCCCGGGCUACACGCGAGCUACAAUGGUUGGUACAAUGGGUAUCUACCCCGAAAGGGGACGGGAAUCUCCUAAAACCAAUCUUAGUUCGGAUUGAGGGCUGCAACUCGCCCUCAUGAAGCUGGAAUCCGUAGUAAUCGCGUUUCAACAGAACGCGGUGGAUACGUCCCUGCUCCUU
rnacentral:rRNA from 1 species